rnacentral:rRNA from 1 species
GAUGAACGCUGGCGGCGUGCCUAAUACAUGCAAGUCGAGCGAACGGACGAGAAGCUUGCUUCUCUGAUGUUAGCGGCGGACGGGUGAGUAACACGUGGAUAACCUACCUAUAAGACUGGGAUAACUUCGGGAAACCGGAGCUAAUACCGGAUAAUAUUUUGAACCGCAUGGUUCAAAAGUGAAAGACGGUCUUGCUGUCACUUAUAGAUGGAUCCGCGCUGCAUUAGCUAGUUGGUAAGGUAACGGCUUACCAAGGCAACGAUGCAUAGCCGACCUGAGAGGGUGAUCGGCCACACUGGAACUGAGACACGGUCCAGACUCCUACGGGAGGCAGCAGUAGGGAAUCUUCCGCAAUGGGCGGAAGCCUGACGGAGCAACGCCGCGUGAGUGAUGAAGGUUUUCGGAUCGUAAAACUCUGUUAUAAGGGAAGAACAUAUGUGUAAGUAACUGUGCACAUCUUGACGGUACCUAAUCAGAAAGCCACGGCUAACUACGUG